rnacentral:rRNA from 1 species
UCAGAUUGAACGCUGGCGGCAGGCCUAACACAUGCAAGUCGAGCGGUAGCACAAGAGAGCUUGCUCUCUGGGUGACGAGCGGCGGACGGGUGAGUAAUGUCUGGGAAACUGCCUGANGGCGGGGGAUAACUAGUGGAAACGGUAGCUAAUACCGCAUAANGUNGCAAGACCAAAGUGGGGGACCUUCGGGCCUCACGCCAUCAGAUGUGCCCAGGUGGGAUUAGCUGGUAGGUGGGGUAACGGCUCACCUAGGCGACGAUCCCUAGCUGGUCUGAGNGGAUGACCAGC